rnacentral:rRNA from 1 species
AACGAACGCUGGCGGCAUGCCUAACACAUGCAAGUCGAACGAGACCUCCGGGUCUAGUGGCGCACGGGUGCGUAACGCGUGGGAACCUGCCCUUAGGUUCGGAAUAACUCCCCGAAAGGGGUGCUAAUACCGGAUAAUGUCUUCGGACCAAAGAUGUAUCGCCUUUGGAUGGGCCCGCGUUGGAUUAGCUGGUUGGUAGGGUAAAAGCCUACCAAGGCGACGAUCCAUAGCUGGUCUGAGAGGAUGAUCAGCCACACUGGGGCUGAGACACGGCCCAGACUCCUACGGGAGGCAGCAGUGGGGAAUAUAGGACAAUGGGCGAAAGCCUGAUCCAGCCAUGCCGGGUAAGUGAUGAAGGCCUUAGGGUUGUAAAGCUCUUUUACCCGGGAUGAUAAUGACAGUACCGGGAGAAUAAGCACCGGCUAACUCCGUG